GGUCAAGUAAUUAAGUGCAUACGAUGGAUGCCUUGGCGAUAACAGGCGAUGAAGGACGUAGUAGCUUGCGAUAAGCUCCGGUAAGCCAGCAAACAGGCUUUGACCCGGAGAUUUCCGAAUGGGGGAACCCACCUCAAAUAUGAGGUAUCUAUAUCUGAAUCUAUAGGGUAUAGAAGCGAACCUAGGGAACUGAAACAUCUAAGUACCUAGAGGAAAAGAAAUCAACCGAGAUUCUGUUAGUAGCGGCGAGCGAAAGCGGAACAGCCUAGUUAUUUUAAACUUAAUAUUUUUAACAGAACAAUUUGGAAAGAUUGGCAGUAUAGGGUGAUAGCCCCGUAUGUGAAAAAAAUGUUAAGUUGAUAACUGAAAAGUAGGGCGGGGCACGUGGUAUCCUGUCUGAAGAAUCUUCUUCGGAAGAGUGGGGGGACCAUCCUCCAAGGCUAAAUACUCGUUAUCGACCGAUAGUGAACUAGUACCGUGAGGGAAAGGUGAAAAGUACCCCUGUUAGGGGAGUGAAAUAGUAUCUGAAAUCGUAUGCAUACAAGCAGUGGAAGCCUAGUUUAGCUAGGUGACUGCGUACCUUUUGUAUAAUGGGUCAGCGACUUACUUCUCAAUGGCAAGCUUAACCGUAUAGGGGAGGCGUAGGGAAACCGAGUCUUAAUAGGGCGUUUAGUCGUUGGGAGUAGACCCGAAACCGAGCGAUCUAUCCAUGAGCAGGGUGAAGAUGGGGUAAUUCCUAUUGGAGGCCCGAACCCACUUAUGUUGAAAAAUGAGGGGAUGACUUGUGGAUAGGAGUGAAAGGCUAAUCAAGCUCGGAGAUAGCUGGUUCUCCUCGAAAGCUAUUUAGGUAGUGCCUCGUGUAUCACUCUCGGGGGUAGAGCACUGUUACGGCUAGGGGGCCAUCUCGGCUUACCAAACCGUUGCAAACUCCGAAUACCGAGAAGUGCAAUCACGGGAGACACACGGCGGGUGCUAAGGUCCGUCGUGGAGAGGGAAACAGCCCAGACCGUUAGCUAAGGUCCCAAAAUUAUGGCUCAGUGGGAAACGAUGUGAGAAGGCUCAGACAGCCAGGAGGUUGGCUUAGAAGCAGCCAUCCUUUAAAGAAAGCGUAAUAGCUCACUGGUCGAGUCGGCUUGCGCGGAAGAUUUAACGGGGCUUAAGUCAUAUACCGAAGCUACGGAUAUUAUCUUUAAGAUAAUAUGGUAGAGGAGCGUUCUGUAAGCCUGUGAAGGCGUAUUGUAAAGUAUGCUGGAGGUAUCAGAAGUGCGAAUGCUGACAUGAGUAGCGAUAAUGUGGGUGAAAAACCUCACACGCCGAAAGUCCAAGGUUUCCUUGCGCAACGUUAAUCGGCGCAGGGUUAGUCGGCCCCUAAGGCGAGGCAGAAAUGCGUAGUCGAUGGGAAACAGAUUAAUAUUUCUGUACUUCAUAUCAUUGCGAUGGGGGGACGGAGAAGGCUAAAUCAUCCAAAGAUUGGUUGUUUUGGUUCAAGGUUGUAGACAAAAAACUUAGGUAAAUCCGGGUUUUUAUAAUGUCGAGAACUGAUGACGAAAUAUUUUUUAAUUAGAAUAUUUAAGUGAUUGAUGCCAUGCUUCCAAGAAAAGCCUCUAAGCUUCAGAUGUGUAUGAAACCGUACUCCAAACCGACACAGGUGGACAGGGUGAGAAUCCUAAGGCGCUUGAGAGAACUCGGGUGAAGGAACUAGGCAAAAUAGCACCGUAACUUCGGGAGAAGGUGUGCCUCUGGUACGUGAGAAAACUUGCGUUUCAAGCGGAAAGAGGUUGCAAUAUCCAGGUGGCUGCGACUGUUUAUUAAAAACAUAGCACUCUGCAAACACGAAAGUGGACGUAUAGGGUGUGACGCCUGCCCGGUGCCGGAAGGUUAAUUGAUGUCGUUAGGAGUAAUCCGAAGCGGUUGAUCGAAGCCCCGGUAAACGGCGGCCGUAACUAUAACGGUCCUAAGGUAGCGAAAUUCCUUGUCGGGUAAGUUCCGACCUGCACGAAUGGCGUAACGAUGGCCACACUGUCUCCACCCGAGACUCAGCGAAAUUGAAUUUGCUGUUAAGAUGCAGUAUACCUGCGGCUAGACGGAAAGACCCCGUGAACCUUUACUAUAGCUUUACACUGAAUUUUGAACCUGCUUGUGUAGGAUAGGUGGGAGGCUUUGAAACCUUGACGCUAGUUAAGGUGGAGCUACCCUUGAAAUACCACCCUGGCAUGUUUGAGGUUCUAACUUAGACCCGUUAUCCGGGUCAAGGACAGUGUAUGGUGGGUAGUUUGACUGGGGCGGUCUCCUCCUAAAGAGUAACGGAGGAGUGCGAAGGUACCCUCAGCACGGUUGGAAAUCGUGCAUUGAGUGCAAAGGCAUAAGGGUGCUUAACUGUGAGACAGACAAGUCGAGCAGGUACGAAAGUAGGUCUUAGUGAUCCGGUGGUUCUGUAUGGAAGGGCCAUCGCUCAACGGAUAAAAGGUACUCCGGGGAUAACAGGCUGAUUCCUCCCAAGAGUUCACAUCGACGGGGGAGUUUGGCACCUCGAUGUCGGCUCAUCACAUCCUGGGGCUGUAGUCGGUCCCAAGGGUAUGGCUGUUCGCCAUUUAAAGUGGUACGCGAGCUGGGUUUAGAACGUCGUGAGACAGUUCGGUCCCUAUCUGCCGUAGGCGUUGGAAAUUUGAGAAGAGCUGCUCCUAGUACGAGAGGACCGGAGUGGACGUACCUCUGGUGUUCCAGUUAUCAUGCCAAUGGUAUUGCUGGGUAGCUAUGUACGGACGGGAUAACCGCUGAAAGCAUCUAAGCGGGAAGCCUCCUUCAAGAUAAGAUUUCCCGAGAGUUUAACUCUCCUUAAGGUUUGUUGAAGACUACAACGUUGAUAGGCGAGGUGUGGAAGUGCAGUAAUGUAUGAAGCUAACUCGUACUAAUUUAACCGUGAGGCUUGACCUU
rnacentral:rRNA from 1 species